ACCCAUGGCCACGCCACCCUGAGAACACCCGAUCUUGUCCAAUCUCGGAAGCUAAGCAGAGUCAGGCUCAGGUCUUGUCUAAGGCUAAACAACUGUCUAUG
rnacentral:rRNA from 14 species